rnacentral:rRNA from 2 species
ACCUGACUGCUAUCGGAUUGAUACUAAGCCAUGCGAGUCAUUGUAGCAAUACAAGGCAGACGGCUCAGUAACACGUAGUCAAUCUAACCUAUGGACGGGGAUAACCUCGGGAAACUGAGAAUAAUAUCCGAUAGGCCACUAUGCCUGGAAUGGUUUGUGGCCCAAAUGAUUUAUCGCCGUAGGAUGGGACUGCGGUCUAUCAGCUUGUUGGUGAGGUAAUGGCCCACCAAGGCUAUAACAGAUACGGGCUCUGAGAGGAGAGGCCCGGAGAUGGGUACUGAGACACGGACCCAGGCCCUAUGGGGCGCAGCAGGCGAGAAAACUUUGCAAUGUGCGCAAGCACGACAAGGUUAAUCCGAGUGUUUUCUGCUAAAGAAAUCUUUUACCGGUCUUAAAACCACCGGCGAAUAAGGGGUGGGCAAGUUCUGGUGUCAGCCGCCGCGGUAAAACCAGCACCUCAAGUGGUCAGGAGGAUUAUUGGGCCUAAAGCAUCCGUAGCCUGCCGUGUAAGUUUUCGGUUAAAUCUAUGCGCUCAACGCAUAGGCUGCCGGAAAUACUGCACGGCUAGGGAGUGGGAGAGGUAGACGGUACUCGGUAGGAAGGGGUAAAAUCCUCUGAUCUAUCGAUGACCCCCUGUGGCGAAGGCGGUCUACUAGAACACGUCCGACGGUGAGGGAUGAAAGCUGGGGGAGCAAACCGGAUUAGAUACCCGGGUAGUCCCAGCUGUAAACAAUGCAAACUCAGUGAUGCAUUGGCGUAAGAGCCAGUGCAGUGCCGCAGGGAAGCCGUUAAGUUUGCCGCCUGGGAAGUACGUACGCAAGUAUGAAACUUAAAGGAAUUGGCGGGGGAGCACCACAAGGGGUGAAGCCUGCGGUUC